rnacentral:rRNA from 1 species
AACGGCAGCAUAGGAGCUUGCUCCUGGUGGCGAGUGGCGAACGGGUGAGUAAUACGUAGGAACAUAUCCAGUAAUGGGGGAUAACGCAUCGAAAGGUGUGCUAAUACCGCAUACGUCCUGAGGGAGAAAGUGGGGGAUCGCAAGACCUCACGUUAUUGGAGUGGCCUACGCCUGAUUAGCUAGUUGGUGAGGUAAAGGCUCACCAAGGCGACGAUCAGUAGCUGGUCUGAGAGGAUGAUCAGCCACACUGGGACUGAGACACGGCCCAGACUCCUACGGGAGGCAGCAGUGGGGAAUUUUGGACAAUGGGCGCAAGCCUGAUCCAGCCAUUCCGCGUGAGUGAAGAAGGCCUUCGGGUUGUAAAGCUCUUUCAGCAGGGAAGAAACGGUUUUGGCU